CCUGUUCUUCAUCACAUCACCCUGGACUUCCCAUCAUUACACACACCUGUUCCUCAUCACACACCUGUUCCUUUAUCCUCUUUAGUCUAUUUGUUGGAGACCUCUUUGGCAACCAUUACAGCCAUUAGUGUAUUUGGAAAAGCCUCUAUCAAUUUUGCACAUCUAGACAGCAACUUUUGGCCAUUCUUCUUUGCAAAAUUGCUCUUGUUCCAUCAGGUUGGAUGGGGACCUUUUUUGACCAGCAACUUGUAACUCUUUGUACAUAUUAUCAAUUCAAUUGAGAUCAUGGCUUUGGCUUGGCCAAACCAGGACAUUGACCAUUUAGUUUUUAAGCCACUCCAGUGUGGAUUUGGUUGUAUGUUUGAGGGUCAUUGUCCUUCUGGAAGAGUUGUCCUUCUGGAAGACGUCAGCAGGUUUUAUUUAUCAGACUUGGCAGUACGCAUGCUGUUCUCAGGAUGAUAUGCAGUGUUGGUCUUAAACCAAACGCACAGCUCUUAGCGUUGAGGCUCUGUUUUGAUCCCAUCAGACAUAGUCUUCUUCCACUUAGUCUCAGUCUCCCAAGUUCCUUCUGCCAAACGGCCAACAAAAAGCCACUGGCAUCAAAUCUUUGUUAGUCUUCCAUAGAGGCCACUUUUGCGAAAGCACCCGGGACAUUGUUGCAGUAUGAACAGUGUCUCCCAGCUCAGCCCUGGAAGACUGGAACUCCAUUUGAGUUUCCAUAGUCCUCAUUACCUAGACUAGACCUAAACAAACUUAUAUAGGUACAUUACCUAGACUAGACCUAAAUAAACCCAUAUAGGUACAUUACCCAGACUAGACCUAAAUAAACCCAUAUAGGUACAUUACCCAGACUAGACCUAAAUAAACCCAUAUAGGUACAUUACCCAGACUAGACCUAAAUAAACCGAAAUAGGUACAUUACCCAGACUAGACCUAAAUAAACCCAUAUAGGUACAUUACCCAGACUAGACCUCAAUAAACCCAUAUAGGUACAUUACCCAGACUAGACCUAAAUAAACCCAUAUAGGUACAUUACCCAGACUAGACCUAAAUAAACCCAUAUAGGUACAUUACCCAGACUAGACCUAAAUAAACCCAUAUAGGUACAUUACCCAGACUAGACCUAAAUAAACCCAUAUAGGUACAUUACCCAGACUAGACCUAAAUAAACCCAAAUAGGUACAUUACCCAGACUAGACCUAAAUAAACCCAAAUAGGUACAUUACCCAGACUAGACCUAAAUAAACCCAUAUAGGUACAUUACCCAGACUAGACCUAAAUAAACCCAUAUAGGUACAUUACCCAGACUAGACCUAAAUAAACCCAUACAGGUACUUUUACCCAGACUAGACCUAAAUAAACCCAUAUAGGUACAUUACCCAGACUAGACCAAAAAUAAACCCAUAUAUGUACAUUACCCAGACUAGACCUAAAUAAACCCAUAUAGGUACUUUUACCCAGACUAGACCUAAAUAAACCCAUAUAGGUACUUUUACCCAGACUAGACCUAAAUAAACCCAUAUAGGUACAUUACCCAGACUAGACCUAAAUAAACCCAUAUAGGUACUUUUACCCAGACUAGACCUAAAUAAACCCAUAUAGGUACAUUACCCAGACUAGACCUAAAUAAACCCAUAUAGGUACAUUACCUAUACUAGACCUAAAUAAACCCAUAUAGGUACAUUACCCAGACUAGACCUCAAUAAACCCAUAUAGGUACAUUACCCAGACUAGACCUCAAUAAACCCAUAUAGGUACAUUACCCAGACUAGACCUCAAUAAACCCAUAUAGGUACAUUACCCAGACUAGACCUCAAUAAACCCAUAUAGGUACAUUACCCAGACUAGACCUAAAUAAACCCAUAUAGGUACAUUACCCAGACUAGACCUCAAUAAACCCAUAUAGGUACAUUACCCAGACUAGACCUCAAUAAACCCAUAUAGGUACAUUACCCAGACUAGACCUCAAUAAACCCAUAUAGGUACAUUACUCAGACUAGACCUCAAUAAACCCAUAUAGGUACAUUACCCAGACUAGGCCUAAAUAAACUCAUAUAGGUACAUUACCCAGACUAGACCUAAAUAAACCCAUAUAGGUACAUUACCCAGACUAGACCUAAAUAAACCCAUAUAGGUACAUUACCCAGACUAGACCUAAAUAAACCCAUAUAGGUACUUUUACCCAGACUAGACCUAAAUAAACCCAUAUAGGUACUUUUACCCAGACUAGUCCUAAAUAAACCCAUAUAGGUACUUUUACCCAGACUAGACCUAAAUAAACCCAUAUAGGUACAUUACCCAGACUAGACCUAAAUAAACCCAUAUAGGUACAUUACCCAGACUAGACCUAAAUAAACCCAUAUAGGUACAUUACCCAGA